UGGCUCAGUUGGUAGAGCAUGUGACUCUUGAUCUCAUGGUCGUGAGUUUGAGCCCCAC
rnacentral:tRNA from 1 species